GAUGAACGCUGGCGGCGUGCUUAACACAUGCAAGUCGAACAGAAAGGCCCAAGCUUGCUUGGGUACUCGAGUGGCGAACGGGUGGGUAACACGUGGGUGAUCUGCCCUGCACUUCGGGAUAAGCCUGGGAAACUGGGUCUAAUACCGGAUAGGACGAUGGUUUGGAUGCCAUUGUGGAAAGUUUUUUCGGUGUGGGAUGAGCUCGCGGCCUAUCAGCUUGUUGGUGGGGUAAUGGCCUACCAAGGCGUCGACGGGUAGCCGGCCUGAGAGGGUGUACGGCCACAUUGGGACUGAGAUACGGCCCAGACUCCUACGGGAGGCAGCAGUGGGGAAUAUUGCACAAUGGGCGCAAGCCUGAUGCAGCGACGCCGCGUGGGGGAUGACGGCCUUCGGGUUGUAAACUCCUUUCGCUAGGGACGAAGCGUUUUUGUGACGGUACCUGGAGAAGAAGCACCGGCUAACUACGUG
rnacentral:rRNA from 1 species